ensembl:lncRNA
GAAAUUAAAAAGAGAUAAUCAUCAAGGAAAACUGAUGAAACCAAAAACUGGUUCUUUGAAAAGAGCAAUAAAAUUGAUCAACAUUCAGCCAAGCUACCGAGAUAAAAAAGAGGAGAGAGAAGGAGCUUAUACCAAUUACUAACAUCAUCAAUGAAAGAGGGGUCAUCAGUAAUGAGCCCACAUGCAUUAAAAGCAUAAUAAAGGGCUAUUUUGAAGAAGUCUAUGCCCACAAAUUUCAUAGCUUAGUAAAAAUGAACCAAUUCCUUCAAAGGCAGAAACUACCAAAACUCACCCAAAGAGAAAUAGAAUAUCUGUAUCUAUAUUUAGAUUAAUUAAGGAAAUUGAAUCAGUAAUUAAUAACCCUCAAAGAAAUAAAGUGCCAGACCCAGAUGGUUUCACUGUUGAAUUCUACCAAGUUCUUCUAAAACAAAACACAGUUUGCAAUACACACAGGCAGCUUGUGCCUAGGUGUUUACUCAGUAGAGUUGAAAAAUUAUGUCCACACAGACAUCUGCACAUGAAUGUUGAUGGCAGAUUUAUUAAUAAUCACCAAAAACUGGAACCAUCCAAGAUUUUCUUCUACAGAUAAACGUAUAAACAAAUUUGGCGGAGUGAAAUAUUUUCCAGAGAAUUAAAAAAUGAGCUUUAAAACUAUGGAAAAUAUGAAGGAACCUUAAAUGUAAAUUACUAAGUGAAAGAAGCCAGUCUGCCAAAGCCACACAUUCUUUGAUUGCAACGAUGUAACCUUCUGGGAAGGCCAAAUGAUAGAGACAGUAAAAAGUUUAGUGCCCUGGGGGCCAAAGUGGUGCCUAAGUUCACAAGAGCAGGUCUGGAGCCCGGGUGCACUGGAGCAGGCCAGGUACCCAAGCCCACAGUGUUGGGCCUGGGGCCUGGGGCCUGUGUCUACUUGGGUGGACCCGGGUCUUGGAUUAGCAAGAACUGACUAGGCACCAGGGACAACUGCAGCGGGACUGGUGACUGGGUGCUUUAAUCUCUCACCCAGAAUCCUUGGCUCUUGUGAAGGCAUUUUCGUGAGUGGAUCAUUCAUCAGAUUGCUGUUUCUGCAAAGGGAUGACUGCUGGAAACUCUUACUCAACCAUCUUGCUGAUAUUGCUCCAAGAAUUCAGUUUUGAGUUAAAACUAAUGCUGAGAAAUAUGGGAGAAAAUGGAAAUCAGCAAUAGAGACAGACAAGGAAAGGCCAGUGAGCACAGAAAGAAAACAUGUACUGGCGUGUGAGGAGUUGUCAGGUAGGUGAUAGAAGCAUUUCAAGAAAAGAGGGACCAACGGUGUCAAAUGCACCCAAUAGUGUAAAGUGGGAGGAAUCUUUCGGGGUGAUGGAAACGUUCUAAAAGUGAAUUGUGUGAUCACUGUGGAAUUCUGUACAAUUACAGAAACCAAUGAAUUCUACACUUAUAAGUGAAUGUCAGGACAUAUAAAUUACACCUCAAUGUUUUCUCCAAAUAAGAAAUUUAACAUACACUUACUUGAUAUUUCUUCUCCCAAGUGUUCAUCAAGGGCAAAUGGAAACACAUAUUUAUAAAAAGGGCAUAGGGAUAAAUAUUCACAAUAUAUUUAUUCAAAAGACAUUAAACUGAAAGCAACUCAAAAUGUCCACUAAAAGGAGAAUUGAUUAAUCUUUUUGAUAUAUUUGUACAAUGCCUCAUUUACCAAUAAGCACAGAGUGAACUUAUAUCGACACAAAAACUUGGAUAGUCCUCAAAGACAUUAUUUUGAAUAAAAGUGUGCGACAACAAAGUGUACAUUCUCAUUUAUUUCACUUAUGUGAAGUUCAAGACCUGCAAAAGUGAUGUACGUUUCCACAAAGCACAACAGAGGCUAUGGAUGAUGGGAGAGGGUGGGAUUGGUUGAAAAGGUACAGGGAGGUAUUUUCUGUGCUAACAGAUGUGAUUCAUUUAUUGAAAGGGUUCUUGAAUGCUGUAGGGGGUAUAUGGUUUUAAAGAUGUGUCAAGUCAUACACUUAAUGUAGACACAUUUCAUUAUGUUUUAACUUUAUAUAAAUACAAACAAAGAAGAAAGAGGGAAUUUAGAAGGAACAUUAAACAGUAAUGGAGAUGAGCAUCAUUUAUUUACAAAUCUCCCCCAACACCCACCAUAUAACUGACCUUUCCAGACUGUCAGUUGCUGGUUGGGUUCCAGGCGGAAUGUCGGGGUGUUCCCUGGAGUGUGCUGUGGCUGGUGGAUCUGUGGUAACUGGGCAGAGCCCUGUGGUGGGUCAGUGCCAUGGAGGGGCUGCUGUCCUCUGUGCAGCUUGGCUUGGGGAUGAUCCUUGGCAAGCUGGGCGAGGUGGUGGUGGAGAUGCUGCCCGAUAUCCUGAGUCCAUGACUCACUUUCCACAGCCUCCAGUGGGAGACAGUGAUGUGCCCACCUGCCCUCAGUUUACUGGUGGGCAUCUUAUUUAUAUUCAGACUGGUUCAGUCUGUUAGAAGUCAACUUUAUGUACAAUGUGAACAGCGGCUGGCAGAAGCAGUGGCUGCAGGGAUUGAGGAGAAAUGCCAGCUCGUUGACAAGCUUGGCGCUGCUCAAAGGAGUAUCUGGGGAUGCAAUCAUCUUUAGAGAUUGCCAGGCUGGAGAAAGAGUCACUGACUAUAGCCAGCCUCACAGACACUCACAGAAAGGUGAAGAGGACCAACGCAAUGCUGAAGGAGGAAUUGACUGACCUGGCUCAGGAACUGAAGGGAGAGAGAGCCAAAUGGUUGAACAAGAAGAGGAGACGGCAGAGCUGCUGCGAGUGCUCGAGUUCUUAGAAGAGGUUGUGAGACUCAAGACGUCACGAGGAGCUUUCCCAAAGUUGCCAGGAGGCCAAGAACCAAGGCCUUAUGGUCCCUUCCUCAGGAGUGGGCCUGGGUCUUAAAGCAGAGCUCUUCUCUCCUCCUCCGCUCACGUCGCCCAAGACAGCAGGCAGCCUCCACCCAGCUUGACCUCCAUCUGAGCGUGACUGAGGCCUGUGGGUGCAGGGGAGCCCCUUCCCUGGGCUGGAGAUCCUCUGCCUUCGCAUGCUGGACGCAAAGGAUGGCUCCUUCAUCUUCACUUCCUCCCAAUCUGAAGACUUGGAAUUCCUAGAACACACCAAGAAAGAUUGGAAAACAGCUCCAGAGGAAGGAUAUCGUUUGUUUGAGGUCACCCGGUUUGCGAAGAUGAAGUCAGAGUUUACAGCCCAUGUUGUUCACCGAUGAGUUACGUCACUAACCACGUUCCAAAGUGAUGCUGAUGGAAAGAAUGCUGGUGCUUCAGAGUCCUGGGGCAACCUUGAGAAGCUGCAGAGGAGUGGACGACCACGAGCUGGGGCUUGGUAUUUAUCGCUGGGUGGAUAUGCAAGCUGAGGGGGUUUGGAGAAGAAAGAUGCAGAGAGAAAUGAGCUUGACUGGGGAAAACGAGCAGAGAGGGAGAAGAGAGAGUUGGGGCAGCUGCCAAAAGGAAUGGAAAUCUGGGAAGACAGAGCGACUGGAAGGGGAUUUUGAAGAAGCUUUGCUCUCGGGUGUACUUUGUGAUGGCUAUUCUCUGGCCUCCACUAAACCUUCAGGAAAAUCCCUACUUUUCCUCAAUGCCUUUAGAGGUGGAUCCAGGGUUACUCAUUGUACUGCUCACGGAUGGCAGUGCUUCAUUUUCAUAUUCCCACCUGCCUCAAUACUUGUUAUCCUACUGUUUCAAGAUAGGAAAACCAACUCCUAUCAUAACCCCUAAUGGGUUCUAUCUGGUAUCUCCUACGGGACUUAAGGGUAGUAAUACUCUACAAAAAUCAGUUGGUUUUCUAAUUAACAACAAAGAACAAGAUUAAGAGGAUAUUAAGAAAGCAGUUCCAUUUCCAAAAGCAUCAAAAAUAAUAAAAUAGAAAAGGCUGUAAACUGAAAAAUACAAAUAUUACUGAGAAAAACUAAUUUAAAUAAGUGAAAGGGCAGCCAUGUUCAUGGAUUGGAUGACAAUACUGUGCAGGUAUCCAUCAAUACCACCCACAUCGAUCUCCACAUUCAAUGCCAUCUCAUUCAGUGCUCACCUCCCUCAGGUCAAUCCACAACGUCUCCUGCUCUUCCCUGUGGUUCCUUGGUUGGGAAAGUGCUGGAUAAACAUCUGUUCUUUUGGAUUCAGAUCCUAGACACCUGACACUCAAUAACUCCAUGGAGCUCUUAAAAAAAUCUUGAUUAGGGCCCAGUACAUUACAGUCACAGGCUGUGAGAGUUUUUAGUACAGCAAUGCGAGAAGAGCCCUAAAAUAGGGAGGAGGUUCCAUUGUAGUAAGGUUCCUGUUCUAUCAGCCCUCACACUGAGUAAAACUACAGAACUUGAUUAAAAAUCUAUUUGCUACAUCAAACAGUCAUAUAAAGUCAGGAAUUUAUAUUUAUUUUAAACUAAUAUGCGUAUUAUAAAAUUACAUAUAAAAACAUAAAUAUAUGUAAUGUAUUAUAUGGAGAGAACUUCGUAUGUAAAAUGCAUUAUAAUGUAUGAAAUGCUAUAUAUUGCAUAUUAUGUGUUACAUGUUGCAUAUUAUAUAUGUUGUAUAUUAUAUGUUACAUAGAGAGAGAGAGAAAAAGAAGAGAGGAUGUAGGGCAAUUUCAUUUUCCGAUUCUAGGAAAAUAAUGAAACCCAAACCAUCAGGAACGGUAUCACUUGAGCAGAGCAUAGGUGCAAGUACCAUCCGUGUUAUAUGCAGAAACAUUCACCUUGACCCCAGGGGGCAUCUGGGAUGAGACUAGAUGACUGAAAUCUCUGGGCGAUGGUGAACACAGAAUUGGGGGACAGCAGCUAUGAAGACGCACUGAGCCACAUGCCGGACGCCCCAAGCGCAGAGCGAGCUUGUGAGCUUCUAGAGGUGGAGACUUGACACACUGCGGGAGAGGAAAAUGAAGUUACUGGACCCACUGAAACGGGACUCAUUGAUCCUCUAGCCCAUGGUGGGCAGUGUGCAUCAGCAUGGUCCUUCAGAGUUUUAGAUGCUCCUUCUCUUCAAAUUUCGUGCUCAUCAAAGUACAUAUUUUUCUGCACUGUAUCAAAGAAUCCUUUGUUUAAUAGAAGACACAGAAUAAUUCGGUAUGGACCUUUGUCUGAGGCUGAGUAAUAUUUCUUGGCAUUAUCUUUAUCUAUUCAUCUGUCGAUGGACACUAAGCUGUUUCCAUACCUUGGCUCUUGUGAACAAGGCUGCAGUCAACACAAGAAUGCACAUGUCUCUUUGAGAUUCCGAUGUCAAUUCUGGUGGAUAUAUACCCCAAAGUGGGAUCGCUGGAUUGUGCUGAGUGAAAGAAGCCAGUCACAGAAGGACAAAUAUUGUGUGAUUCCACUUAUGUGAGCUAUCUGAAACGGUUCAACUCACUAUAGUUGACAACACUGCAUUGUGUCAUUGAAAUUUGCGAAGAGAGAACUUAAAUAUGCUUGCAAGAAAAAGAGAGAAAGAGAAGAAAAGAGAAACCUGUGUGGUGACGGAUGUGUUAUUUAUCCUGAUGAGGGGAAUCCUUUCGCAAUGUAUCAAAUCAUGUCAUUGUAAAUAGCUAACACGUUUAUUUGGCAGUGAUGCCCUAUUAAAACUGAAAAAAUACCCCCCAAACCAAAAAAGAAGGAAAAAAUGUCAAACUCACAGAAACAGAGGAGAAUGGUGAUUGCCAGGAGCUGGGGGAAGAGGAAAGAGGGAGCUGCUGUCUGACAGGCACAAAGUUUCAGUCGUGCAAGAUGAAGGCAUCAGAAGAGAUCACAUUCAUGUGCUUAGAGAACGUCACAUGUGCUCUGUGUCCUCCACGUAGGCAGGGCGGGAUGGCUGAAGUGGGCUGGAGUCCCCACAGGUAGGUGUGUCCCUGAUCAAACCUUAGCACAUCAGGUUCUGGUAAUAUAAUUUCUCCUUAGAGCAGACUUUUUAAGAACAGAAUGCUCUAGCAUAUUUCAAAAUUGUUCAUUUUUUCUUUCCUCUGUCAGAAGCACAAUAUUUUUUUCUCAGACAUUCACUGUAAGAGGCAG